GAGCAACUGAAAGCUGAAGGUGGAUAUUUUGGCCAGAUUAGAAACACUAAAAAAUCCUCUCAGAGGUUAAAGGAUGCACUACUGGACCAUGAUCUUGCCCUUCCUCUUUGUUUGCUCAUGGCACAGCAGAGGAAUGGGGUGAUCUUUCAGGAAGGCGGAGAGAAACAUUUGAAACUUGUAGGAAAGCUAUAUGACCAGUGUCAUGAUACCUUGGUACAGUUCGGUGGAUUUUUAGCAUCAAAUCUAAGCACAGAUGAUUACAUAAAGAGAGUACCUUCAAUCGAUGUUCUUUGUAAUGAAUUUCAUACACCCCAUGAUGCAGCAUUUUUUCUGUC
rnacentral:lncRNA from 1 species